rnacentral:rRNA from 1 species
UACGAACCGAGCGAACGUUGAUCGGAAUAACUGGGCUUAAAGGGCGCGUAGGCGGGCUGUCAAGUCUGGGGUGAAAGCCCGCGGCUCAACCGCGGAACCGCCCCGGAUACUGACGGCCUCGAGGGGGGUAGGGGCGAGCGGAACUAAUGGUGGAGCGGUGAAAUGCGUUGAUAUCAUUAGGAACUCCGGUGGCGAAGGCGGCUCGCUGGACCUCUUCUGACGCUGAGGCGCGAAAGCUAGGGGAGCAAACGGG